rnacentral:lncRNA from 1 species
GGAGAAAUCAAGUUGGUCCAACAACUGACAUGAAAGCUUUAUGACCGCUGGCUGGCUUUUGUAAUGCUGGAAAUGUGAUGUACCCGAUUUGAGGAGAGGAGGAGUCAUCAGUCACACCAGGAAAUGAACUGUAACUACAAUAAUGGUCAGGCAGAGACUCAAAACAAGUCAAUGAAGAAAAUAACCAGUGUGGAAUGCCCAGUCCUGAAUGGGACAUCAAGUCUAAGAAGAUUUUAAGAGUCAGAUGAGAAACGCAACCUCCCAGAGAGCAUCUAUGCUCCAGUAAACACCUCUAUACCUGAUCACAUACUGGCAACAUUAAGUGGACUCACUGUGAUUUAAACAAAACAAAACAAAACAAAA